GAUGAACGCUGGCGGCGUGCUUAACACAUGCAAGUCGAACGAAGCACUUUAUUUGAUUUCCUUCGGGACUGAUUAUUUUGUGACUGAGUGGCGGACGGGUGAGUAACGCGUGGGUAACCUGCCUUGUACAGGGGGAUAACAGUUGGAAACGGCUGCUAAUACCGCAUAAGCGCACAGCAUCGCAUGAUGCAGUGUGAAAAACUCCGGUGGUAUACGAUGGGCCCGCGUUGGAUUAGCUAGUUGGUGAGGUGACGGCCCACCAAGGCAACGGUGCGUAGCCGCACGGAGAGGGGGAUGGGACACAGUAGAAAGGAGACAGGGGGGAGAGUGCUACGGGAGGCGGAAGGAGGGAAUCUGCAGAAAUGGGCGACAGAGUGAAGGAGAAAAGCCGCGUGAGUGAUGAAGGUCUUCGGAUCGUAAAACUAUGUUAUUAGGGAAGAAAAAAUGUGUAAGUAAAUAUGCACGUCGUGACGGUGCCUAAUAAGAAAGCCAAGGCUAACUACGUG
rnacentral:rRNA from 1 species